AUUUUUCCAUCCUGCGUGUGGCCUUAUCCACCCACGCCCGUCACCUUCCCCAUCGUCCACGCCCAUUCCUCUCUCUCUCUCUCUCUCUCUCCACCCACGCACUCCACAGACCCGGCCUCCGGCCAGCAGAGCCGCCUCUCGGCUCUCCUCUCUCUCUCUCUCUCCCUGCGAGAUCUGCCCGGUGGUGGGCGGGUGGCGACAGCUCGGCUUCCGGCGACCGGCACCGCCGUCGUGCCCUCCCCUUCCUCACCUGCGUGAUCAUGUAAGAACAGGGUUAUGCAGUUGGUGGGGAAGAUUGCAAACAAAUUCUGCGGACGCAUAGGCUUCUACUUCCAUGAUCUUCUACCAAUGAAUAAGUUGAUGAUAGCAAUGCUUCUGAGUAGAUUUGUUCUGUGAUGUUUAUGUAAUGAAAGAGUUUGGGGACAUGAGUGGUACUCUCUGGUGGAUAUCGUGUUUGAAUUGACAUUUUGCAUGUUACUUUUCUGCACCAUGGCCAUGCGAUGAAGUGUUACUUAGUUCUUGAUCUUCUACUUCCCUAGCUAGUAUUAGUAUAGCAAACCCCUCAUGCAGAUGCAAUUUGCAGCCUUUUUACAUCUGUUUAUAAAUUCAUUUACUCAAUAUUGGAUUAAACGGAUUGGCUAUGUGGCAAAUUCAUUUCACACCCUAGGAGCGUGUGCACCCAUUAGGAGUUCACAUACUUGUGAGUUCUCAAAACUUUUUAAAAAAUUGGUAGAUGUAGCCUAUGUUGGAACAUACUUAACUGGAAAAAUUUGGGCCUAAGGUGAGGAAAUCUCCCUUUGCAAUAGACUACUCAUUGAUGUGGUGAAAACUUGCUCCACAGCAAGUAUGAACAAAGCUUUAACUAAACCCGCUCGAUAUAGGUCGUUGUAAUCCUUGUUGAGAUAUUGUUAUUGUUUGAGCGUCCGAAACAUCUUGUUACAUUAUUUAAUUGUAAUUUACGUGUGUUUGUAGGACAGACAAAAAAAGAAAACACAUGGUAUGUGCACUGCAAAUAUCUUAAGAUUUGGCGUACUUUGCAGGUUAAUCUUCUGCACCAUGGCCAUGCGAGAAUACACCAAUGACAUACGACUCUCAUUACCUGCCAUUCCACUGGAAAAAAGGGCGUGGAGUAAACCACAUUCUAUGAUUUCAAGUCUACUCGAGAUCGUCAUUUUGUCGCGCUAGCUAGUCUUGAAUACAAACCAUCCUUCUUAAUGAGUUGGUACUGUUUACCAUCCUGCACAACCAUACAAAAGAACUUGAAAUUAUGAAGCUGAGACGCUGAACACGCAUAUCACAUUGUAGAUCAGAUGCUGGACGCUGCUGAGGAAGUUGCAUGCUUGAGAUAUCCUCCCGGGGCAACCGGGCAAAUGGCCCAAAGAACCUUCAACUUCGGCACCUGUGCUGCAGCCUGCUAUCGCAAGCUCAGAAUCGCUCUCUGACAAUGGCAACGUGGACUUUCUGUUCUUCCGGAAGACGAGGUAAAUAAUUGUAGCUAUGUAUAUGAUCAUGCCAAGGAAUCCAAAUGUUCCGGAAAAUACUUGGGAGACAGUGGACAGCCCACUGUGAAGGAGCAGUCUGACAAAGCUUGUUAUCAGGAAAUAGGUGUUGAUGACGACAAUAAACAAACCGAUCACCCAUGUUAGUACAGCAGUCUGCAUUAGAAUGUCAAUUCAGGUGAUUAUUAAUGACAUCGCAGCAAAAUCCAUUUAUAUUUCGAGUUCUGUGACAAACAACUUACGUAUAUUGAAUUUGUGUGCUGCCC